rnacentral:lncRNA from 1 species
CUUUCUCCGCCUUUUUCCCAAGCAAUAACCCUCAAAAAGUUCACUUGACACUGAUCGAUGAUUCUUUAGUUAUCCUGACUAAAGCUGAAUUUCUAGAAGCAAUUAACCUUCGAGUUCUUCCUUCAACUAGAAUCUACUCACAAAGCAUCAAUGACAUAACCUCAACCCUAUACCAGAUGGGUUAUCAGAAGAAAUUGAAAGGAAUUGGGAAAUUCAAGAAAAACCAGCUCCCUACGGUAUGGCAAUACGUCUGUCACUUUGUCAUCCGGAGUCUCUCUGGUAGAACCGGUGGCACGGACAACAUGGGACUCAAACUGCUUGAACUUGUAUGGAGCAUCUUCACAGGCAAUGCAAUCAACUAUGGCCAAAUUCUAUGGGAUGACUUUCUACAAUAUGUUCCCAAGGAGAAUCCUUGAGAAGACCCAAUUGAACUCACUUUUCAACACUACUGGUCUCUCUGCAUUUUGGAUCUUCACAAAGAUGCGAACCUUGACAUGGGUGAUGAUAUCAAUCUCUUUGCUACCCACGAUUUAAAAAGAUACACUCUCUCCAAAUAUCAAUCAAUUUUUGGAUCUCUUAGGAGAUUACUUGCACAUAUUCUGAAGACUAUUGGACUUGAAACUCGAGAAAUCACAGAUC